rnacentral:tRNA from 1 species
ACAUGCAUGGCUGAGUGGUUGAUAGCGGUAGACUCAUGAUCUGCUUUCUCUUUGAGACACCGCAGGUUCGAAUCCUGCUGCAUGUA